ACUCAAAGGAAUUGACGGGGGCCCGGCACAAGCGGUGGGAGUAUGUGGUUUAAUUCGACGCAACGCGAAGAACCUUACCAGGUCUUGACAUUGAUGGACAGAACUAGAGAUAGUUCCUCUUCUUCGGAAGCCAGAAAACAGGUGGUGCACGGUUGUCGUCAGCUCGUGUCGUGAGGUGUUGGGUUAAGUCCCGCAACGAGCGCAACCCCUAUCUUAUGUUGCCAGCACGUAAUGGUGGGGACUCAUGAGAGACUGCCGCAGACAAUGCGGAGGGAAGGCGGGGAUGACGUCAAAUCAUCAUGCCCCUUAUGACCUGGGGCUACACACGUACUACAAUGGGAGUUAAUAGACGGAAGCGAGAUCGCGAGAUGGAGCAAACCCGAGAAACACUCUCUCAGUUCGGAUCGUAGGCUGCAACUCGCCGUACGUGAAGUCGGAAUCGCUAGUAAUCGCAGGUCAGCAUCUGCGUGAAUCGUCCGGCUUGACACACGUCGCGCGCGGCAGGCACGACGAGGGAG
rnacentral:rRNA from 1 species